rnacentral:rRNA from 1 species
GACGAACGCUGGCGGCGUGCUUAACACAUGCAAGUCGAACGGAAAGGCCCUGCUUGCAGGGUACUCGAGUGGCGAACGGGUGAGUAACACGUGGGUGAUCUGCCCUGCACUUCGGGAUAAGCCUGGGAAACUGGGUCUAAUACCGGAUAGGAGCCAUUUUUAGGGUGAUGGUUGGAAAGUUUUUUCGGUGUAGGAUGAGCUCGCGGCCUAUCAGCUUGUUGGUGGGGUAAUGGCCUACCAAGGCGGCGACGGGUAGCCGGCCUGAGAGGGUGGACGGCCACAUUGGGACUGAGAUACGGCCCAGACUCCUACGGGAGGCAGCAGUGGGGAAUAUUGCACAAUGGGCGCAAGCCUGAUGCAGCGACGCCGCGUGGGGGAUGACGGCCUUCGGGUUGUAAACUCCUUUCGCUAGGGACGAAGCUUUUUGUGACGGUACCUAGAUAAGAAGCACCGGCUAACUACGU